rnacentral:tRNA from 1 species
GGCGGCGUAGCUCAGUUGGCAGAGCAUACGGCUCAUAUCCGUAGAGUCAUUGGUUCGAUCCCAAUCGCCGCUA